rnacentral:rRNA from 1 species
AAUGAACGCUGGCGGCAUGCCUAACACAUGCAAGUCGAACGAGAUCUUCGGGUCUAGUGGCGCACGGGUGCGUAACGCGUGGGAAUCUGCCCUUUGGUUCGGAAUAACAGUUGGAAACGACUGCUAAUACCGGAUGAUGACGAAAGUCCAAAGAUUUAUCGCCAGAGGAUGAGCCCGCGUAGGAUUAGCUAGUUGGUGUGGUAAAGGCGCACCAAGACGACGAUCCUUAGCUGGUCUGAGAGGAUGAUCAGCCACACUGGGACUGAGACACGGCCCAGACUCCUACGGGAGGCAGCAGUGGGGAAUAUUGGACAAUGGGCGAAAGCCUGAUCCAGCAAUGCCGCGUGAGUGAUGAAGGCCUUAGGGUUGUAAGCUCUUUUACCCGGGAUGAUAAUGACAGUACCGGGAGAAUAAGCUCCGGCUAACUCCGUGCCAGCCGCCGCGGUAA